rnacentral:misc_RNA from 1 species
GAUGAAGAACGUAGCGAAAUGCGAUAAGUAAUGUGAAUUGCAGAAUUCCGUGAAUCAUCGAAUUUUUGAACGCAUAUUGCGCCCUCUGGUAUUCCGGAGGGCAUGCCUGUCCGAGCGUCAUUUGUACCUUCAAGCUCUGCUUGGUGUUGGGUGUUUGUCUCGCCUCUGCGUGUAGACUCGCCUCAAAACAAUUGGCAGCCGGCGUAUUGAUUUCGGAGCGCAGUACAUCUCGCGCUUUGCACUCAUAACGACGACGUCCAAAAGUACAUUUUUACACUCUUGACCUCGGAUCAGGUAGGGAUACCCGCUGAACUUAAGCAUAUCAAUAAGCGGAGGA